rnacentral:rRNA from 1 species
GACGGAGGGUGCAAGCGUUGUUCGGAUUGACUGGGCGUAAAGGGCGUGUAGGCGGUUCGUUAAGUCGGGUGUGAAAGCCCGGGGCUCAGCUCCGGAAGUGCGUCCGAAACUGGCGAGCUGGAGCGCGGUAGAGGAGGGUGGAAUUCCUGGUGUAGCGGUGAAAUGCGUAGAUAUCCGGAGGAAGACCGGUGGCGAAGGCGGUCUGCUGGGCAGUUUCUGACACCGAUGCGCGACAGCGUGGGGAGCAAACAGG